rnacentral:misc_RNA from 1 species
UUUCCCCUGCCUCUGCUUCUCUUUCUCCAUAAUUUCAUGAAUUUCUGGGUCCGCCACGGGAAGUGAUUGGUUCCCCCAGCCUCGAACCAUUGCUCGUCGACACUCGAGUCCCGGUUCCUUGGCGACUCGCUUAGGAGGGUUAGGCGAUGAUGACGAUGAAGACGAUGCUUGGCCAUCUCUUUGCCUCUUUAUGCACAUUGGAUGACCCAAAAUGCUAAAAUUCUCCUCUUCUUCUGCCUGAUUUUCAUCUUUCUCAACUGGGUUCUCCUCCUUCUGGUCAAGUAACUGCAACGGAAUAGGAUUCGACGACGAGUGCGAGUGAAACCCAAGCGACAGACCCGAAUGAGCUUGCGAUAAAUCCAUUUCAAAACCUCAAAUAACAAAUAAUUAAAAAAAAUUGAGAAUUUCAAAACUCAAUGAUUUGUGUAGAAACAACAGAAACAGCGACAACAAC